UCAAUAUAAGUUGAUUAAUAUUUAUUUAUUGAUUUUUAAUUUUUGUUUAUUUAUUUAUUAAAAAUAAUUAUAUAAAGGGUUGUUUUAGUAAUUUUUAAUGAAAUAAUAAAUUUAAUUAUAGUGUAUUAAUGUAUCGUGAGAGAGUAUUGAAAUAUAUUGAAAAAUUUUUAUUUUGUAAGAAAAUUUAGGUUGUUGUACCUUGUGUAUCAGGGUCUACUAAUAAGUUAGUAUUUAUUUACUAUUCUCGAUUUUAUAAGAGUUAAUUACCUAUGAAAUUUAAUGUGUCAAAAUUAUUUUUAAUAGGUAGUUAGAAAUGAAAUGUUUUUCGUUUAUAGAGGUAUCUAGUUAUUCCAGAAAUAAAUUUAAUUUAUUAGUUUUUAAUUUUUGUUCUAAUUGAAUUAGGCCAAAAAUUUAAUAGUUAUAAUACCUUAUGGGAUAAGCUUUAAGGUGUAUUUUUAAAAGUUAAUUUAUAUAUUAAUAUAUGUAAGCUUAGAAUUAGCAAUCAUUAAUGAAUUUGUUUUAAACCAUUUUAUUAGAUAAAUUAUUUAUUUACUUUAAUUAUUUAUGGAAUUUUCUAUUUUAAUUUUUAAAAUAGAAUAAUAAUGGUGGAAUUAGUAUAAUUUCUUGUGGGUGUAGUUUUAUGUGAUAAGUUUAUGUAAAGAAUUCGGCAAAUUUUUUAUGCCCGCCUGUUUAACAAAAACAUGUCUUUUUGAGUUAAUUUUAAAGUCUAACCUGCCCAAUGAAAAUUUUAAUGGCCGCAGUAUUUUAACUGUGCAAAGGUAGCAUAAUCAUUAGUCUUUUAAUUGAAGGCUGGUAUGAAUGGUUGGACGAGGUAUAAGCUGUUUCAUGUAAAUUUAUAAUAGAAUUUUAUUUUUCAGUCAAAAAGCUGAAAUUUAGUUAAAAGACGAGAAGACCCUAUAAAUCUUUAUAUUUUUUACUAGUUAAAUUUUUUGGAGUUAUUUUAUUUUAUUAGUAUAAAUUAUUUUAUUGGGGUGAUAUUAAAAUUUAAUUAACUUUUAAUUUUUAAUUACAUUAAUUUAUGAUUAGCUGAUCCGUUACUAGUGAUUAUAAGACUAAGUUACUUUAGGGAUAACAGCGUAAUUUUUUUUGAGAGUUCUUAUCGAUAAAAAAGAUUGCGACCUCGAUGUUGGAUUAAGAUAUAAUUUUGGGUGUAGCCGCUUAAAUUUUAAGUCUGUUCGACUUU
rnacentral:rRNA from 1 species